CCUACGGGUGGCUGCAGUGGGGAAUAUUGCGCAAUGGGCGAAAGCCUGACGCAGCAACGCCGUGUGGGUGAUGAAGGUUUUCGGAUCGUAAAGCCCUGUCAGUGGGAAAGAUGGUUGACGUCGCUAAUAUUGGCGUCAAUUGACGGUACCCGCAAAGGAAGCACCGGCUAACUCUGUGCCAGCAGCCGCGGUAAUACAGAGGGUGCAAGCGUUGUUCGGAAUUAUUGGGCGUAAAGAGCGCGUAGGCGGUUUGGUAAGUCAAAUGUGAAAUCCCA
rnacentral:rRNA from 1 species